rnacentral:rRNA from 1 species
GACGAACGCUGGCGGCGUGCUUAACACAUGCAAGUCGAACGGAAAGGCCCUGCUUGCAGGGUGCUCGAGUGGCGAACGGGUGAGUAACACGUGGGUGAUCUGCCCCUUACUUUGGGAUAAGCCUGGGAAACUGGGUCUAAUACUGGAUAGGACCAUGCUGUAGGUGGUGUGGUGGAAAGAUUAGUUUCGGUAAGGGAUGAGCUCGCGGCCUAUCAGCUUGUUGGUGGGGUAAUGGCUUACCAAGGCGUCGACGGGUAGCCGGCCUGAGAGGGUGGACGGCAACAUUGGGACUGAGAUACGGCCCAGACUCCUACGGGAGGCAGCAGUGGGGAAUAUUGCACAAUGGGCGCAAGCCGGAUGCAGCGACGCCGCGUGGGGGAUGACGGCCUUCGGGUUGUAAACUCCUUUCAGCCAUGACGAAGCCCUUGUGGUGACGGUAGUGGUAGAAGAAGCACCGGCUAACUACGUG